rnacentral:lncRNA from 1 species
GGAAGAGGACGAUGGUAUUUUACAGUCAACUGAACAGGAUCUUCCUGGCAUGGGCUGAAGUCCUUCAGAAGGUUUUUUUCCAUGGUGCUCCGGUGGAGAUGAUGACAAUGGAUAACCUUCUGGAUUCAAGGACCUGUGUCUGUCUUUUAACGCUGCUAAGUGGUAAGUAGCAAGUGUGGUUUUUCUGAAGUAGGGAACCUGGGGGUCGAAGGAGCACUCAGCAUCUAAAAGCCUCCCCCAGCAGGAGGAGGUGGGGGACCAGGAGACCUGUGGAGAGAUGGGUCAUCAGAGAGGCUGGGCAGAGACUGAGGAACCCAGGCGAUGAGGAGAAGUGGGCUUGUUUUUAAUGU